UGGGGAAUAUUGGACAAUGGGGGAAACCCUGAUCCAGCAAUGCCGCGUGAGUGAAGAAGGCCUUCGGGUUGUAAAACUCUUUCAUCAACGAAGAUAAUGACAUUAAUUGAAGAAGAAGCUCCGGCUAACUCCGUGCCAGCAGCCGCGGUAAUACGGAGGGGGCUAGCGUUGUUCGGAAUCACUGGGCGUAAAGCGUAUGUAGGCGGAUCAAAAAGUUAGAUGUGAAAUCCCUGGGCUCAACCCAGGAACUGCAUUUAAAACUAGUGAUCUAGAAUUUGGUAGAGGUUAGUAGAAUUUCCAGUGUAGAGGUGAAAUUCGUAGAUAUUGGAAAGAAUACCGGUGGCGAAGGCGACUGACUGGGCCAUUUUUGACGCUGAGAUACGAAAGCGUGGGUAGCAAACAGG
rnacentral:rRNA from 1 species